UGGCAAUCAACAGAGCCUGGCUCACAGCAGGCUGUGGGACGCAGUGGUUGGCUUCCUCCAUGUCUUUGCUAAUAUGCAGAUGAAACUCUCUCAGGAUUCCAGUCAGAUCGAGCUGCUGAAGGAACUCUUGGAUCUCCUUCAGGACAUGGUGGUGAUGCUUCUGUCCCUCCUGGAAGGGAAUGUGGUAAAUGGCACCAUUGGCAAGCAGAUGGUUGACACACUGGUAGAAUCAUCUACCAAUGUAGAAAUGAUCUUGAAAUUCUUUGACAUGUUCUUGAAACUUAAAGACUUAACCAGCUCAGACACCUUCAAAGAAUAUGACCCAGAUGGUAAAGGAAUUAUCUCCAAAAAAGAAUUCCAGAAGGCCAUGGAAGGGCAAAAACAGUACACGCAGUCAGAGAUUGACUUUCUCCUGUCGUGUGCAGAAGCUGAUGAGAAUGACAUGUUUAAUUACGUUGAUUUUGUAGACCGGUUCCAUGAGCCAGCCAAGGACAUAGGGUUUAAUGUGGCUGUGUUAUUGACAAAUCUUUCUGAACACAUGCCAAACGAUUCCCGCCUGAAGUGUCUGUUGGACCCAGCAGAAAGUGUGCUAAAUUACUUCGAACCCUACCUAGGACGCAUCGAGAUCAUGGGUGGGGCCAAGAAGAUUGAGCGUGUUUAUUUUGAGAUCAGUGAAUCCAGUCGCACUCAGUGGGAGAAGCCCCAGGUGAAGGAAUCUAAGCGACAGUUCAUUUUUGAUGUUGUCAAUGAAGGUGGGGAGCAGGAAAAGAUGGAGCUGUUUGUGAACUUCUGUGAGGACACCAUCUUUGAAAUGCAGUUAGCAUCUCAGAUCUCUGAAUCCGAUUCAGCUGACAGGCCAGAAGAGGAGGAGGAAGAUGAAGAUUCUUCUUACGUGUUAGAAAUUGCGGGUGAAGAGGAAGAAGACGGGUCUCUUGAGCCGGCCUCUGCAUUUGCUAUGGCCUGUGCCUCUGUGAAGAGGAAUGUCACCGACUUCCUGAAGAGAGCAACCCUGAAGAACCUCAGGAAGCAGUACAGGAACGUGAAAAAGAUGACUGCGAAGGAGCUGGUGAAGGUGCUCUUCUCCUUUUUCUGGAUGCUGUUCGUGGGGCUAUUCCAGUUGCUCUUCACCAUCCUGGGAGGAAUCUUUCAGAUCCUCUGGAGCACAGUGUUUGGAGGGGGCCUGGUAGAAGGGGCAAAGAACAUCAGAGUGACCAAGAUCCUGGGUGACAUGCCUGACCCAACCCAAUUUGGUAUCCAUGAUGACACUAUGGAGGCUGAGAGGGCAGAGGUGAUGGAGCCAGGUAUCACCACUGAACUAGUACACUUCAUAAAGGGGGAGAAGGGAGAUACAGAUAUCAUGUCAGACCUCUUUGGACUCCACCCAAAGAAAGAGGGCAGCUUAAAGCAUGGGCCUGAAGUGGGUUUGGGUGACCUCUCAGAAAUUAUUGGCAAGGAUGAACCCCCUACAUUAGAGAGUACUGUACAGAAGAAGAGGAAAGCUCAGGCAGCAGAAAUGAAAGCAGCAAAUGAAGCAGAAGGAAAAGUAGAAUCCGAGAAGGCAGACAUGGAAGAUGGAGAGAAGGAAGACAAAGACAAAGAAGAGGAGCAAGCUGAGUACCUGUGGACAGAAGUGACAAAAAAGAAGAAGCGGCGGUGUGGUCAGAAGGUUGAGAAGCCGGAAGCUUUCACAGCCAAUUUCUUUAAAGGGCUGGAAAUCUAUCAGACCAAGUUACUGGUCACUGAAGAGCCUUUAGAAGAAGAGACAGAGGAUGUUGCAAACCUAUGGAAUUCCUUUAAUGACGAGGAAGAGGAAGAAGCGAUGGUAUUCUUUGUCCUUCAGGAGAGCACCGGGUAUAUGGCACCAACGCUGCGGGCCCUGGCCAUCAUCCACACCAUCAUCUCUCUAGUCUGUGUGGUGGGCUACUACUGCCUGAAGGUGCCUUUGGUGGUUUUCAAAAGGGAAAAAGAAAUCGCCAGGAAGCUGGAGUUUGAUGGCCUAUAUAUCACCGAACAGCCAUCUGAAGAUGACAUCAAGGGGCAGUGGGACCGCUUGGUGAUCAACACACCAGACGGGGUUUCACCGUGUUAGCCAGGAUGGUCUCGAUCUCCUGAUCUGGUGAUCCACCCACCUCGGCCUCCCAAAGUGCUUGGAUUACAGGCAUGAGCCACCGCGCCCGGCCUGAAGUCCUCUUCUUAACCAAAUAGCCUGCUUGGUAAGAGACCUCGUCUUAACGUAAGAUUGAGAGGCACUUACAUGGGCAGGUAAAUAGAGCCAUCUGGUAGGGAUAUGAAGACCUGUGGAGGCAAGCCUGCCUUCCUGUAGGCAUGUGGCACUGUGGUGGGAAGAAGGAAGAGCACUGAUUGACAGGCAGGUGACACCAAGGCUCUGACGCUUACUGGUCUGUGAACUUGCACAAGGUAAUCAAGCCUUCUCAGCCUUAGUUUCCUCGUCAGUAAUAGAAGGAUGAGAAUAUCAUCCUGCAGAGGAUUAAUGAAUGUAUGUGUCAAAUGCUUGGCAAAUGCCUGGCACGUGGUAGGCAUUAAGCUGUUACUCAUUCUCUUUCCCCUAACUAUCCAAAAAGUGGCCAUCACCAUUAGCAAAUGUCACACUCUAAUGACAGUUGAUUCACAAGUAAGUGACAGUUUCAAGAUAAAUUAAUGUGGCAAAAGAAAAGAAAUAAGGCCAAAUAGUAAACAAAGGUGACUGUGUUGAAACUCUUAGGUGUGCCAAUUAAGAUAGGCAUGUUAAGAAACAGCAACCCUGACUCCAGGGGAAGAAAGCUGUGUCCUAUCCAAAGAUGAUCAGGCAAACUGAGAAGCAGCUCUGCAAAGGUACAACUAAGCAUAUUUCUUUAUAUUCUCCAGAAAAGGAAGCCUCUUCCCUUAGAAGGGGGAAAAUGUGAACAGACACAUCCUCACAUCCUAAGUCUGUCCCUGCCUGUGGGUCCCCUGCCAAUCUUCUCACACAAGGAAAAGCACUGUUUCUGAUGCUUUGUCAUUACAUUACAGAAGUCUUAGACACUAUUGAAUAGUUUAAUCCUUUGGUAAGCUUUGUGCAAUCAUCAGUAAUGCUUGCGUCUUGUUAUACAAGGACAUGUGGCCUAAAAGUCCCAGUAAGAAGGCAGUUCAAUUUCGGCCAGGCACAAUGGUUCAUGCCUGUAAUCCCAGCGCUUUGGGAGGCCGAGGCGGGUGGUUCAUGAGGUCAGGAGUUCGAGACCAGCCUGGCCAACAUAGUGAAACCCCGUCUCUACUAAAAAUACAAAAAAAAUUAGCUGAGCGUGGUGGUGGGCGCCUGUAAUCCCAGCUACUUGGGAGUCUGAGGCAAGGAGAAUCACUUGAACCUGGGAGGCGGAGGUUGCAGUGAGCUGAGAUCGCACCACUGCGCUCCAGCCUGGGCGACAGAGCGAGACUUCAUCUCAAAAAAAAAAGAAGGCAGUUCAAUUUCUAGCAAUGUAUCCUAAGGAGAUAAUGAGACAAGUACACUAAAAUGUCCUAACAAAGGUAUUUCCCAAUAUUUUUUACUUAGAGUGGCUUAAACGUCCAUGAGUAGGAAAUGCAUAAAUAAAUAGCUAUUUUUUAAAAUGUUAGAGAUAGACCAAUGUUUUUAAUUUUUUUUCACAAUGGCAUCAUAGUACGUGUUCAUGUUUUGUAACGUGCUUUUUUUCAGUUAACUGUAUGUCAUGGGAGCUUUCUUUUUAAACAUUUUAC
rnacentral:sRNA from 1 species